rnacentral:tRNA from 1 species
GAUGUCGUUGUCAAGUGGUUAAGGCGAUGGACUAGAAAUCUUUUGGGAUCUUCCCGCGCAGGUUCGAAUCCUGCUGAUACCG